rnacentral:lncRNA from 1 species
AAAUUGUGCGGUUAACGGUCAAAGCCCCCCUGCCUACUUUGACACUCAUUUAAAGAUGACAGGGAACAAUAGAGAUUUGUUCUGUGCAACCCUUUCUUGUUAUGCCGGCGACAUCAGCUCCGCACAUGAAACUGCCCGAUAUUUCAUUCCACCUGCCACCUCCCUCCCGCCUCGGUCGACUCUCUCCUCUGCUACUUUGCUUGUCCCCACUUUAACACAAAGAGACAGCUCUGUGUUCACAGCACCUAACAGUGUUGAAAAAGAAUGCUAUUUAAAACCCGAGUUGAGACAUCACCUUUCCAAACCCAUGACUGCUUCCUGGCUCACUAAACACGAACCAGAAAUUAAUGCUGCAAAGAGCAGAGACAAGAGAUUCGACUGUGUUAGCCAGGAUGGUCUCGAUCUCCUGACUUCGUGAUCUGCCCGCCUCAGCCUCCCAAAGUGCUGGGAUUACAGGCUUGAGCCACUGUGCCUGGCUUCAGGCUGGGAUUUUUAUAGCUUAUUAUGGCAAGGGAGGAGACGGAGAGUAAAAGAAGAAGGAAGAGCAUACACAGUCACCCCUUGUGUGACAAAUAUGCAAGAAAUAAAGAUAAAUGUGUACAAUUCUUACAAUUUUACUUUUCUGAAUUUUGCUAUUGCACUGAAUGAUUUGUGAUAAGACAGAUGGGGAUGAAAAAUAUACUUAUUAAAUAAACAGCUAUUAAAAGCCCCUAAAA